AGUGAACGCUGGCGGCAUGCUUUACACAUGCGAGUCGAACGGCAGCGCGGGCUGCGCCCUCGCUGCGAGUUGGCAACGGGUGAGUAAUACAGCGGAACGUCCCCAGCUACUUGGUCGAGCUCGACGACGGCCGGAUUAAUACCCCAUUAGACCAUACGAUCAAAGGGGGGGAUCUUCGGACCUCGCGCUCUUGGAGCGGCCGAUGGCAGAUUAGCUAGUUGGUGGGGUAAAGGCCUACCAAGGCGACGAUCUGUAGCUGGUCUGAGAGGACGACCAGCCACACUGGAACUGAGACACGGCCCAGACUCCUACGGGAGGCAGCAGUGGGGAAUUUUGGACAAUGGGCGAAAGCCUGAUCCAGCAAUGCCGCGUGUGUGAUGAAGGCCUUCGGGUUGUAAAGCACUUUUGGCGGGAAAGAAAAGGACUGUGCCAAUACCACGGUUCGAUGACGGUACCCGAAGAAUAAGCACCGGCUAACUACGUG
rnacentral:rRNA from 1 species